rnacentral:rRNA from 1 species
AUCGUACCCCAAACCGACACAGGUGGUCAGGUAGAGAAUACCAAGGCGCUUGAGAGAACUCGGGUGAAGGAACUAGGCAAAAUGGUGCCGUAACUUCGGGAGAAGGCACGCUGAUAUGUAGGUGAAGCCCCUGCGGGCGGAGCUGAAAUCAGUCGAAGAUACCAGCUGGCUGCAACUGUUUAUUAAAAACACAGCACUGUGCAAACACGAAAGUGGACGUAUACGGUGUGACGCCUGCCCGGUGCCGGAAGGUUAAUUGAUGGG